CACACAUUUCUUCUUUGAUGGAGCUCUUAUCUGACUUGAGUACUAGAUUGGAGGGUAUGGAGAGCUCCCUUCAUAGAUUCAGUGGCAGGAUUUUCGAUAUAGAGAGGGAGGUCAGACGGAUUAUAGUCUCUCUCUCUGUUGGAGUGGGCACAUCAACUUCUUCUACACUGCAAAAGGAUGACCUGGCUCGAGAGAUAGAGAGACUCGACAGUCAGCUUCGUUCCUCUCUUAAGCUACUUCGGACAAACAUCAGAGACUCCAGAGACUUCGUAUC
rnacentral:lncRNA from 1 species